GGACAGCUGGCUUUUCAUUACUUCCACCUGAAUAAAUGAACCAAAAUCAUCAGCGUCCAACAAAAGGUACACUGAAUGGUAGGCAUUUUCUCAGAACCGAUAAAGAUCUCUCCUGUAAAAACAGAACCAAAAGACAAUGAGGUCAUAUUUCUGAUAAAAAUACCAAGUUCUAAAGCAAUACCUAUUCAUUAUAAAUAAAUAAUAACCAUUCUGAAUUUUAAGUUUUCCUUCCUUGUAUUUAUGAGCAUGUCACUUUCUUUUUCUGUUAGGAAACAGCCUGUAACAAGGGCUAUUAUCAGAAAAAGCACUACAGAAAGACAGGGAUGCAGCAGAUACCUUUGAACAACUUUUCCCUGGCACUACUUCACAUAUGGGUUUGUAGUACUUUCUAGAUAACAGAUUUUACCAGAACUCUAAAAUGUUAGCCUUCCUGCAUCGACAGCCACAGGAGCGUACUCACAAAACUAACCUGGGACAUUCUAUGAUUCUAAGUAUUUUGUGCAAUAAGACUAAUUCUUCUCCUGAGGAUCUGACAAGGAAGUGACCUUUCUCCUUCAUAGUCCAAGUGAAAUCAAAUCAUACUACCUCCUUGUUUCAGCAGCUGUUUUACACUGUAGUUAAAUCUAUAUCCCUAAACGCACAGGAACUGUUAACUGUUUUUGUAGAUACAGGGUUGUAAUGCAAAUAACCUCCUUGUCACGGUUUGACUCCAGUAGGCAACCGUGCAACACACAGCCACCUGCUCACUGUGCUGUAGCAGGGUGGUCCAUGGGACUGAGAUGGAGGAAUCCCAAAUUAGGGACAGGCAGCAGGAGAGCGUGAAAGCUAAAGGGAGAGAGCACUAGGACAGAGGUACGCGGGGUGUAACUGAUGGGGAGCAACGGUGUUAUAGGAAGAAGGACUGGACAGGGGGCUACGGAAAAGAAAAACAUUGUCAGGCAACAGGAAAGUGAGACAUACGAGCAAAAACGAAGUGAGUGCCGGGGGCUGAGAGCCAGGGGUGGCAGAGAGGGACAGGCAGCACUGUGCGAGAAGCAAGUACCCAAGGAAGCGGAAAGGACGCCACAAAGGGGAGCACGGGUGGAGAGCCGGCGAAGGGACAGGGAGCCAGGCAGACGGCCGGCCGGCAAAAAGGGAAGGUGGCGGGGGCCAAAGAAGAGGGCGGGCGGAUGCGGCGCUGAGCCAGGAGGGCCCGGGACGCAGAAGAGCGAGACACAGCCCCGACGGCCCUGCGCUCACCGCCGCUCAGACGCCACCUUCCCGCCGCCCCAGGACCGCGCCGCCACCGCGCGCCCCGCACGUCACCAGGCGCGACGGGGCUGCGCCUUGAUGACGUCUGCAGGCGCCGCAGCGCGCGCUGCUGCCUCCGACGGGUCAGGAGCGGGCCGGAGGCAGCCCCCGGAAAGCUCCCGGGGCAGGCCGGGCUUCGCCCCGCCCCGCGCCAGUUUUUCCAUUACGACGGCUGACCACAUAAAGAGGGCUUUAAAGCAGGAAGGAAGGUGGAGGGAGAGGGUAACCAGCAGACCUGUGAAGCAGCGAAGCACGGGGCAGCUGAACAAGGGGCAUGAAGUGAUGUGCUGCAAAGACCUGUAUAAGACCAAGUGUUCUAAGCGGUCACAACUGCUGGAAGAGUACUCCAAGACUACGUCUUACAAUGCACCAGAGACUGGAUUUCUUUUGAUCAAGUACAACAGUCUUCUUAAUAAAUGUCACCAACAUUUACUUACUUCUUAACUACUGUAUUUUAAUUCAGAUGCAUUUUUUAACAUAAUAAAGAAUAAAAAUACAAAAUAAAAAUCA
ensembl:lncRNA